UUCAGACGUACACGCAUUAUUUGGAACUGAAAUUUACGUAAUUUAUCGACCUGCUGGCUUGUAUUUGUUAUAAAUCAUAAAAAAAUUAUGGAAAACAUCAUGAACAAUAAUGAAACAAACCGAACCUUUAGCUACAAUAAUAAAAUGACCCCAUGACGCCAGUGGAACUACGUGGUUUUCUUUCAUGAUGAUUUGAUGAUACCAUAAUGGAAUUAGCCAAGUUUUCGCCGUAUUGGGUGCUAGAUGCCCUUGGAGUUAAG